GGAGCAUUGCAUGAUAUAGUUUUGCAUUUUGAAAGUUUGUUGCUUAUUCUUUUAGUCAGGUCUUUGAUUUUAUUUUUAGACAUAUUUGCUGGUAAGAAAAAUGCAAAUAAUUCAACGAGUACUCUAUGUUUCUUUAACUUGCUGUUUCACUCUUAUUGUAGGUACUACUAAUUGUGCGUUUUCUCCAGCAUGAGUAUCAUCUUGGCCGACCUUUCAACCAAGAAUGUUUUUGAUCCUCGGCAAAUGCGUAUUUCCGUACAGGGAAGUGGUGUUUAUAUAAAGGGAAAGAGGUUGCAGCAUCGACCCCAUACACAUUGAUGAUCCCCUUUUUUCGACUAAUAAUGUGGGACGCAAUUGCUUUUGGAUACAUCAAUGUAUCAAGGUUUUGCACCACUGGGCUUCCUAGUGAUGUUGUUGUUGAUGUUGGAGAAAUGUCUUUCCAUCUUCAUAAUUUUCUUUUGCUCUCAAGAAGUGGAGUCAUGGAAAGUUGAUUUCAGAAGCAUCUGAAGAUGGAGAAGAAGCAUGCAAUAUAAACCUCAUAUUCCUGGUGGGCUAAAACUUUCGAACUGGUAGCCAAGUUCUGCUAUGGGGUGAAACUUGAACUGACUGCUUCAAAUGUUGUAUGCCUGCGAUGUGCUGCUGACUGCUGAGCACCUUGAAAGGACUGAAGAGUGUGGGAGGUAAUUUUUCCUUGUCUUCAGAGGAGAGUUGUCUGCCCAUCGCUAGCAUCGUUUUCUGCAUUAGUUAUAUCCAGGCUUGAAGAGGAUUGAGCUCUGUGUAGUUGGAACCAAAAUCGAUGAUACCAGCUCUGUUGGCAUCAAAUUAUAUGGUCUCGAUUAUUGUUAUUUUCGAGUUCUAGGUAUUUAGUAUGCUACUAGCUUAUGAUGUUCGAGCACUAGCUUUUUGUUGAUAGUUUGUUACUUUUCUUGCUGUUACUAAUGUUCUUGUCUCUGACAUGUCUAGCUGCCAUAUUUUAUUUUAUUUUUUUUAUCGGAAUCUUGCUGCCAUGUUGAAGGGAAUUUUUUGGAGAUGUCAGAAAUUCCGGAGUUUUUCCUAGCAUCGCUUCAUUUUAAUUUUUGGUGGUUACUGACGAUGGCUUGCUGGAUACAUCUUAGUAAGGGAGCCAAAGGGCAGGUGCAUGGGACAUGUUCCUGUUUAAUUGUUGUUCAAGAU